AGAGUUUGAUCCUGGCUCAGGACGAACGCUGACGGUGUGCUUUAGGCAUGCAAGUCGAACGAGAAAACCCUUCGGGGUGAGUAAAGUGGCGAACGGGUGAGUAACACGUGGGCAACCUGCCCCUCGCAGGGGGACAACCGGAGGAAACUCCGGCUAAUACCCCGUAAGCUCUACACGCCGCAUGGCGAGUAGAGGAAAGGUAGCUUCGGCCAUCCGGCGAGGGAUGGGCCCGCGGUGCAUUAGCUAGUUGGUGGGGUAACGGCCCACCAAGGCGACGAUGCGUAGCUGGUCUGAGAGGAUGAUCAGCCACACUGGGACUGAGACACGGCCCAGACUCCUACGGGAGGCAGCAGCCAGGAAUCUUGGGCAAUGGGCGAAAGCCUGACCCAGCAACACCGUGUGGGUGAUGAAGGCCUUCGGGUCGUAAAGCCCUGUUGAUAGGGACGAAGGGCGAAGGGUUAAUAGCCCGGAGCUUGACGGUACCUUUCGAGGAAGCCCCGGCUAACUACGUGCCAGCAGCCGCGGUAAUACGUAGGGGGCGAGCGUUGUCCGGAAUUAUUGGGCGUAAAGAGCGUGUAGGCGGUUCGGUAAGUCUGUCGUGAAAUCCUGGGGCUCAACCCUGGGCGUGCGAUGGAUACUGCCGGGCUAGAGGGUGGUAGAGGCGAGUGGAAUUCCCGGUGUAGCGGUGAAAUGCGCAGAUAUCGGGAGGAACACCAGUAGCGAAGGCGGCUCGCUGGGCCACACCUGACGCUGAGACGCGAAAGCUAGGGGAGCGAACAGGAUUAGAUACCCUAGUAGUCC
rnacentral:rRNA from 1 species